rnacentral:rRNA from 1 species
CGGACGGGUGAGUAACGCGUGAGAAUCUGCUCUCAGGAUGGGGAUAACAGCGGGAAACGCUGCUAAUACCCAAUGUGCCGUAAUGGUGAAAGAUUUACGCCUGAGAAUGAGCUCGCGGCCGAUUAGUUAGUUGGUGGGGUAAAGGCCUACCAAGACGCGAUCGGUAGCUGGUCUGAGAGGAUGAGCAGCCACACUGGGACUGAGACACGGCCCAGCUCCUACGGGAGGCAGCAGUGGGGAAUUUUCCGCAAUGGGCGCAAGCCUGACGGAGCAAACCGCGUGGGGGAGGAAGGCCUUUGGGUUGUAAACCCCUUUUCUCAGGGAAGGAGCAUGACGGUACCUGAGGAAUCAGCCUCGGCUAACUCCGUCCAGCAGCCGCGGUAAUACGGAGGAGGCAAGCGUUAUCCGGAAUUAUUGGGCGUAAAGCUCCGUAGGUGGUGGGGCAAGUCGGCGGUUAAAGCCUGGGGCUUAACUCCAGACAGGCCGGGAAACUGCACCACUAGAGGGCAGUAGGGGUAGAGGGAAUUCCCGGUGUAGCGGUGAAAGCGUAGAGAUCGGGAAGAACACCAGUGGCGGAAGCGCUCUACUGGACUGCAACUGACAUGAGGGACGAAAGCUAGGGGAGCGAAAGGGAUUAGAUACCCCUGUAGU